rnacentral:rRNA from 1 species
UACGGAGGGGGCUAGCGUUGUUCGGAAUUACUGGGCGUAAAGCGCACGUAGGCGGCUUUGUAAGUUAGAGGUGAAAGCCCAGGGCUUAACCCUGGAAUUGCCUUUAAGACUGCAUCGCUAGAAUCGUGGAGAGGUGAGUGGAAUUCCGAGUGUAGAGGUGAAAUUCGUAGAUAUUCGGAAGAACACCAGUGGCGAAGGCGGCUCACUGGCCCGGUACUGACGCGUGAGG